rnacentral:rRNA from 1 species
GUGGGGAAUCUUCCGCAAUGGACGAAAGUCUGACGGAGCAACGCCGCGUGAGUGAUGAAGGUCUUCGGAUUGUAAAGCUCUGUUAAUCGGGACGAAAGAGCCUAGUGUGAAUAAUGCUAGGAAGUGACGGUACCGGAAUAGAAAGCCACGGCUAACUACGUGCCAGCAGCCGCGGUAAUACGUAGGUGGCAAGCGUUGUCCGGAAUUAUUGGGCGUAAAGCGCGCGCAGGCGGAUCUGCCAGUCUGUCUUAAAAGUUCGGGGCUUAACCCCGUGAUGGGAUGGAAACUACAGAUCUAGAGUAUCGGAGAGGAAAGUGGAAUUCCUAGUGUAGCGGUGAAAUGGGUAGAUAUUAGGAAGAACACCAGUGGCGAAGGCGACUUUCUGGACGAAAACUGACGCUGAGGCGCGAAAGCCAGGGGAGCGAACGGGAUUAGAUACCCGGGUAGUCC